UACAGAGGGUGCGAGCGUUAAUCGGAAUUACUGGGCGUAAAGAGCGCGUAGGCGGUCAUGUAAGUCAGGUGUGAAAGACCUUAGCUUAACUAAGGAACUGCAUUUGAUACUGCAUAACUAGAGUAUGGUAGAGGAAAGUGGAAUUUCCGGUGUAGCGGUGAAAUGCGUAGAUACCGGAAGGAACACCAGUGGCGAAGGCGGCUUUCUGGACCAAUACUGACGCUGAGGCGCGAAAGCGUGGGGAGCAAACAGG
rnacentral:rRNA from 1 species